rnacentral:misc_RNA from 1 species
AAAGUCGUAACAAGGUUUCCGUAGGUGAACCUGCGGAAGGAUCAUUAAAAAGUUACCACCGGCCAAGGCCGGGAGGAAGCGUUGCGGGUCGUCUCCCCCCUUCCGGGGGGGUUGAUGGCCCACAGCCCUUACACCCCUUGUGAAAAACCCCUGUUGCUUCGGCAGCCCCCGCGGUUCCUCGGGAUCGCGGCGGUAAGCCUGCCGACGGCACCCCCCUUCGAAAUUCAUUAAUGCAAAGCAGAGUAAACCAUGUCUGAGCGCAAAGUCGAAUUGACUAUAAAACUUUCAACAACGGAUCUCUUGGUUCCC